CCCAAAUAAAAACGAAAUGCUACAGUAGCCAAAAACCAAAAUUUUUACGAACUAAACAAGGCCUAAUAAUGAUCAGCUAUAGAUCUGCAUGCAUGCUUGAGCCAGCAGUUGAGCAUUGGCAUCGCUGAUCGCUCAUAAACGAGUGCCGCUUGCCGCAUAAUAUACAGAGAACGUCGUACUCGCACCAGCACCGGUAAUAACAGCAGCAGCAUCGAUUUCCAUUUAUUUUUUUACAGGAUCCCGCAAAAUACAAGUAGUAUCGUCAAAAAAAAAAAAAGAUGAACCGCUGCUGCCACUCUGGCAAGUAGAUCUGGUGGAGCCCGC
rnacentral:lncRNA from 1 species